rnacentral:rRNA from 1 species
UACGAAGGGGGCUAGCGUUGUUCGGAUUUACUGGGCGUAAAGCGCACGUAGGCGGAUCUUUAAGUCAGGGGUGAAAUCCCGAGGCUCAACCUCGGAACUGCCUUUGAUACUGGGGAUCUCGAGUCCGGGAGAGGUGAGUGGAACUGCGAGUGUAGAGGUGAAAUUCGUAGAUAUUCGCAAGAACACCAGUGGCGAAGGCGGCUCACUGGCCCGGUACUGACGCUGAGGUGCGAAAAGCGUGGGGAGCAAACAGG